UCUUGACCUCGGAUCAGGUAGGGAUACCCGCUGAACUUAAGCAUAU
rnacentral:rRNA from 4 species